AGAACUUGAAUAAUUUAACUUUGAUUAUUUAGAAAAUGUUCUUUGGGAGCCCUAAUACCCUGAUGAUGAUGAAGGAGGCCUCCUAGCCCUGGCUUGAAGGUUUAGUGGGGUUGCCUCUGGCCCCUCUCUCCCUGGUUUUACAGGUCAAUGCCCUCAGAGGAAACAAGAAGAGAGUGAUCUGGUCUUUGUGUCUGAACCCCAAACAAUUUUUAAUCAUUAUGGAAUAUAAGUUGAGAAAUUCUUUAGUGUCAUUUGUGGAGGUUGUCCACCUCUCAGAGUGAACAACCUGGGCCUGUAUCUGGGUACUGUAUCUUGGGUCAUCACACUCAGAUCAUGUUCUUCAACAACUUUGAAAAUUAUCUUCUGGUCUUCAGAAGGGACAUUUGCAGAUGGUUGGUGGUACAGAGGUUUAUUUCUCUGGGGUUUUAGAGACUGGCAUUUUAAGCAUCAGAGAGAAAACAGAGCAUUUUCUGGGCCUGCAGGAGAUGGUCAGUCAGACUUUUCACAGGAAUACCCGGCUUUCUAAUUUCUGUCCAUCCUCAAACCCACCCUCCUCAGGCCUGCUCCAGACCGCCUCUGUUGCAGAGCCUUAUCCAAAUGCUCUGGGCCAUAAUGCAUCUCUACCUGUGAGCCCCUCCAGUUUAUGCUUCUUAUCACCUAGCUCAGCAUUCACCUUGCAGGGCUUUCUCUUUUUCAUCUAUCAUUUAACGAGAAAGGCUCUAGACUUCUGGAGAAUAGGAUCCCUGUAUUACUCUUUUCCUGA
rnacentral:lncRNA from 10 species